CUGAGAUUAGGUUGUUUCCCAGGGAUGUACUAAUGCAAGGUGGGAAGCAGGUGAAUCUUGUGUUACUUUGAUUGCUGUGCCCGUGUUUGGAUGACUAAAGGCAAGAAGAGCCAGACACUAGGGGCAGGGAGAAUGAAAUAGUGGGCCUAGGUUCUCCACAAGUGGUGCGUGGGUGUAGAUAUCAGAGGGGUGCGCUUGCUCCCCGAGGUGGUGCUGAGCAGAAGACAGGUGGUGAGGGCCUGCUGGUUAGGUCGGAUAGAUCUGGCACCUGGAACAAGGACACAGGACUGGCCACAGCGACAGAUGGGGUCUGAUUAUCAAAUUGUUCCUCCUAAGCCCACUCGUACCAAUGGCACUUCAGACAAUAACUAGCGAGUGUUGUCAACACUCCAUCGUCAGAGCUACCGCUGGCAAGAAGCAUUUGGGCCAAGACUGAGAAUGACACGUGUCUACAUUUCCAGCUUUGCAAUCAACGUGGAAAUGAGUCGACUUAUAGACGUGGAGUGAUCUUACAGAAAGGACUCCAGCUGCAGAUGAAAUACCAAGCCCAGGGUGAUAAACAGAGCAGAGGCAUUCAGCAUUUUCCUCUCAGCUGUUGCAGACUGAGGGCCUUGGCCGUGGGGCGGGCUUGGCAGGAGCUGCUGAGUUAUUUCUGGAGACCUUCAAGGUCUGUGGUCCCCGAGAGGAAUGUGAGCCGCAGGGACCGAUGGGAAGUCACAUGACAAGGUAGAAGAGGGAAGGGGUAGGUAUAGUUUGACCAGCACAAAGCUGCUGUUUUUGCCUUUUCUGCAUCAUUCAAUAAAAAGAUUUAUUCACUCAUUUAUGUAAAAAUGUAUUUGGGCAUAUAUUAAACACUCACUGAACAACCAUAGUGCAAUUUAUUCACUGCAGCCAGAGCAACUGCUCUAAAAGGGAAACUAGAGUACAUUCCUCUUCUCCCUGAAACCCACCGGUG
ensembl:lncRNA